rnacentral:rRNA from 1 species
AUGGCGACCACCACGACCACCGCGCUGAGCAUGAAGCUCCUGGUGGACACCCAGGCCCGGCGCGUGCUGUUCGCGGAGGCGAGCAAGGACGUGGUGGACUUCCUCUUCUCCCUCCUCGCGCUGCCCGUCGGCACCGCCGUCAAGCUGCUCGGGAAGGAGGCCAUGGUCGGCUGCGUCGGCAGCCUCUACGGCAGCGUGGAGAAGCUCGACGGCACCUACGUCCAGCCCGGCGCCGCCAAGGACGCGCUGCUCCACCCCGCCGUCCUCUCGCCGUCGGCGAAGGCGUUCUACAGAUGCAGCAGGCAGUGCAACUGCUACAGCGACGGAUAUGACGGCAGCAGCAGCCAGCAGGCUAGAUGCAACAGCUGCCGGACUUACAUGACGGAGAGUUACGGCACCUACUGUCCAUCGUGUAAGAACCAGAUGACCACGGCCUUCACGGUCGUGCCGUCGGCCGCGUCCGGAGGCGAGGUGGCGCAGGCGGCGGGCGGCGUCAGCGGGAAGGGGUUCGUGCAGGGCAUCGUGACGUACACGGUGAUGGACGACCUCACGGUGACGCCCAUGUCCUCCAUCUCCAGCAUCACCCUGCUCAACACCUUCGCCGUCAGCGACCUCAGCGCGCUCCAGGAGAAGACCGUGCAGCUCGGCUAUGACCAGGGUCUGGAGAUCCUCAAGGCGUCGCUGCAGUCCAAGACCGUGCUCACCGACGUUUUCCUGAAGCCCCCCAGCAGCGCUUGA